ensembl:ncRNA B0198.4 ncRNA
CUUUCCUGGCCAACAAAAAAGUUCCUGUGACGACAUCGUCUCGGAUGGGUGUGAAAAAGAAACGGAAGUGCUUAGCAACCAUGCGUCUUUUGCCGAUAAAAGAUGCAACGGCGACUAAAAACAACAAAAAAGUGA